rnacentral:rRNA from 1 species
AGAAUCAACGCUGGCGGCGUGCCUAACACAUGCAAGUCGAACGAGAAAGUGGAGCAAUCCAUGAGUAAAGUGGCGACCGGGUGAGUAACACGUGACUAACCUACCUUCGAGUGGGGGAUAACCUCGGGAAACCGGGGCUAAUACCGCAUAAUAUCCACGGAUCAAAGGAGCAAUUCGCUUGAAGAGGGGGUCGCGGCUGAUUAGUUAGUUGGCGGGGUAAUGGCCCACAAGACAAUGAUCGGUA